ACAGAGUUGUUGCCCAACUUGUUUUAGAGCAUGCAGUGAAGCAAACAAGUCUUCAAAGUUCAAACAAAGUCAGAAAUCGCAGCUCAUGCUUGCUUGUAGAAGCUAAUGAAUGAUUCACUCUAUUUAGAUAAAGGACAAGAAAUUCCCACCAGGCAGUUUGAUAGACAUCACUCUAGUGGAUGACUUGGCAGCACAAGCACAAAAGCCACGCCCUCUUGCUCAUAUCUUUGCCGACUGAUAAACAAAUUCGUAGUAUAAGUUGGAUGUUAUACCACAAAACUUUAUAUACUCCUUCGAUAUACAUUGUGCAAGCAAGCAAAGAUGGCCAGAAAGGAAACUUUGUUGGUUUCUUUCACUUGCCUCCUUGUGGUGGCAUCCGUUGCCAUGUGUGCUAAUGCAACAGCAGCUCCUCGUCUGCUGGCAUCCGAGCAAGUGAAUUCUCCUCUAGGUUGUCGCUGCUGCUUCGUUGUCGGAGAGGCACCAAAUUUACGCUGUGGACAUUCAUGCUGCAGUAACACUGCAGGAGAGAAUUGUUGCAUCCGAAAAUAACAAAACAAUGAGCUGUGUGGAUGUGGCAGCAUGUAUGUACAUGCUUACGUCGUCAUCUGUUGCAGACCAAAUAAAUUAUACUACACGCUGCAAAUAAUUGGAGGAACAUUCUGCAGGAUGCAGGAGUUCUUCACUCUUCUUCUAUCUUUCUGAAUGAGAGGCUCUUUCAUUUGUAAUUUUACCUUUUUGUAAUCCAAGAAUUUACCUGCGUACUAUUGAAUACCUAAUGCAAGGGGAAUUUCUACUGAA